GAUGAAGAACGUAGCGAAAUGCGAUAAGUAAUGUGAAUUGCAGAAUUCAGUGAAUCAUCGAAUCUUUGAACGCACCUUGCGCCUCUUGGUAUUCCGAGGGGCACGCCUGUUUGAGUAUCGUGAAAUCAUCAACCCGACCCCCUUUUGUGUGAACGAAGGGGUGGCUGGGCUUUGGACUUGGAGGUUGUUGCCAUUUUCCCCCCCCCCCCCUUAGGGGGGAGGGGAAAGCUGGCUCCUCUUGAAUGCAUCAGUGGAGCUUGUCCGGUUCUCCCUCGUUCCCUCGGUGUGAUAAUCCAUCUGCGUCGAGGAAAGGGAAAAAGAGGAUGCACCGCUUCGAACCGUCUCGUAUGGGACGUUGAAUGAACCUUCGAUCUCAAAUCAGGUGGGACUACCCGCUGAACUUAAGCAUAUCAAUAAGCGGAGGA
rnacentral:misc_RNA from 1 species